rnacentral:lncRNA from 1 species
CUCAGCAGUACAAAAUAGAUCCAUUUAGCUCAUCAGCGUUUUACACAUUUAUAAAUUUUAUAAAAUAUGAAUACCAAUUUCACAGCAUUUUCUGAUAAUGCCUCACUAGAGAAUAAAAUUUCUAUUUUUGGAAAAAACCAACAACAACUUUUGAAGCUGACCUGGUUUGCCAUGUUUAUUUCGGGUCUGUGGUUAUGCUUAUCUCUGAUUCCAGAGUGAAGGGAGGUGGGCAGGGCGUGGGUGUCCAUUAAGGCACCUCUGUCCUUCCUGCAGGCCAAAUCCUGCCCUGGCUUGUCCUGUGUCAAGGGACAAUGUCCUGCUUUACAAAGUCAAGGCUGUGCCCAUAGAAAGCCUUGUAAUCUUUUGGUUUCUCCGUUUCCUUAUGAGUGAUGCACAGGCUCUGAUGAUUGUCAUCCUCUUCACAGCCUCCAUGAAUCUCCUGAUGAACUCCCUCAGAAGGUGGAAGGAGCACCUGACACCGACCCGAGAUCAGCAGCAGCUACGCCCACGCUGUGGGCAGUUAAGAGGCAGCCAGUGGUACCAGUCGUGAGCGAUCAGAUUUGAGGACUCAGGAUUCUGGUUUCCUGAGUGUCAUGGACCUGCGGGCUGCAGAAAUGACAGCGACAGGUCUUCAGGCAGGUGCCACAGCACCCACACACUGCCAGCAUUUUGUGCAAAAUACCCAAAGCCACAUCACCAGAUCUGGGCUCUCCUAGCUUCCCUUUGCUAAAAUGCUGGCCAAAGAGCUUAACGAGCCACUCAGGGGCACAAGAUAGGUGAAACCUGCAUGUUUUGUUUGUUAAACUAUUUGCCACAUGGCACAAGAAAAUAACAAAAAAUAAACAAAAGGAAUAACUGCAGCAUCAUGGUUUUGUUAAGAUGUCCCAAAGCUGAUCAGGGCUUCCUGUUGAAAUCUAAAUGAGACUCUUCCUAGGUGGCUUACAUUCAGUCAGCUGUGGCUCUGUGCAAAGAAAACCAGUUUCCCUUGCUCAGAAAUUUGGAGCCACUGAUAAGAGAAGAAAAGUGUGAUUCCACAUGGAGGGUCAUGAUACAAUCUGAUCUCUGACCCCGUGGAGGUGAAGGGGCUUGUUCUGCAUGCCAGGCUGAGGACUCUCGGGACUGAGGCAUUCAGAGUCGCAGCUUUAAAUCAUAAGGGUUCCCUGCCCAUUUCAUCACAAGUCAGCAGCAUCCAAAGAGUGGCGUUGAAGAAAAUCUCAUCACCGUGGGCUCAGUUUAGAUUGCUAGUCGGCUCAGAAAGCUACCUGCAAUUGCGUUUCCAGGAUGCACCACAAAUACUCUCCACAUGAGGGAGAACAUCAGUGGAUGAAACUCAGCAUGCUUAGUGCGGGGCCAAGUCCUCUAACAAAGGACACAGCGGUUAACCUGCAUUUCGAGGACAGGCACUGUCAAGCCCUCAUCAGGGAUCCAUCCAGAGAACUUUGGUAAUUCUUGCAAAAUCCCUGUAUCACACAAUUUCCUUCCUUAAUGUGAUGAAGUGUAACGGACACAUCUAUAAAGCUUCUUCAGUCCUGCAAUGCAUAGAUGAGCAGAAGGCCACAAAGCCAGGUCAUAGCACUCUCUACCAUCAGAAUGGAGCCUGCCUGAAUGUGAGCUCAGUGAGAGGCAGAUUCCAUUCUUGGGCCCGUCCACGGUGACUUGUCUGCUCUGCUCCAUCAUCCACUUAUUCACAAGUUCUGGGGCAACAAAGGGCACGUUUUGUUUCAUCUUGUGCCAAACCCUCGAUGUGUACUCACUCACUCUACCUCAUCUCAAGAACUUCAGGGCUGGGAGUGCAUUUGGAGAGAAGGCAUGUGCAAUAUCUGGAAGCCUUAGCACAGGUGGGUUAUACUGAUGCUCUAUAGCCAAACUAUAGGAACUUGGGUUCUAAGGCCAGCAGGCCCAGGUGUCACCCCAAUGGCUCCCUUCAACAGCAGCAUAAAUAAGUCAUGUCAGAAGAACUCACAUUAGCCAUCUCCAGGACUCAUUUCCCUCUCAACAGCAGGAGCUCCUGCAGUCAGAACAGCGGUAAUUUUCAAAUCAGGCAUGUGGUGAUGCAGCAGGAAAGUGCCUGCAUCCCAGGUGUCCCAGCAGCUUUCUGGAGACCUCUAAUACCCACAUCUGCACCACAAAACUGCACAGCAUUGAGUGAUACCAAUCUUCUUAUACAUAUAGGUAAGUGGUAAUAGAAUGCCUCAACAGCAGACCACCCAGGAACCAAAGACAUACUGGAUUUUCAAGUCAGAAGAAUGCUUAGAGAUCAUCUGACCCAAUAGCCAUAUUUUACAGUAAGAUGCAGAAGCCAGUGUCCACAGUGCUAAAGCCACUGGUCCAAGGUGAAAGAAUUUCAAACCCAUAAAUACCUCCAAGAAGCUUCCACUGGGACCCUAUGAUUUUAGUAAAAUUAUCAACAUUCAUGACCUAUGUCUACUGAUCUUAGCGUCUUCUCAGUAGGCAAUUAUUCUUUCUCACAUCAAUUUGCAGUUGCUAUAUUAUCAGCAUCCUUGGUAAAUCCAUCUUGUGUUCUGGGUGAAGACUAACAGAUUCUUCCUUCUUGGACUCUGUCAUUCACUCUCAUCCCUCAUAACAUCUGGCCACUGCUCUAAACACAGUGGCCUUUGAGAAAUGCUGCUGAAUUCUGACUAAGAAAGAGGAGAACUUUCAAAUACAAGAAAGUGAACAUUAUAGAGCUUACCACUCAAGAUGGUUUUCUACAAAUGCGGACAUGGGGCUGAUCUGCACCGUGUAAGUAUCAUUUGCCGAGUACUCAAAGAGUCCAUAGUAAGGGUUGAAGAGCUCCUGAGACAGAAGGAAGAAGAACUCCCGCGAGGGGCCACUGUAGUCCAGGCUGCAAAGAAAGCAGAGGUCCAGGAAGCUCAUUCUGUGCCCGGAGGUGGGGGGACCUGUUUGCACCCAGAUUCUAGUGUGCCCUUUCAGAGUUGGGUGCUGGGGAAAGCAGAGAGCAGCCUCUGCUCUUUGGAGUGAAUGCCAAUGGCAGCAUCAAUUUGCUGUAGAAAAUGAGGAUGCAGUAAUUGGUUUGGAGAUGUUUCUUAACCAGAUGUCCAUGAAUAAACUCUUAUGGCAGCUUUCCUUAGUGUUUUCUUUUGAUCAUCUAACACCUCUGAGCUAAAACACACAGCUGGCCCAUUGAAUACAAGGCCUUUGUUGUGGGACACAUAAAAGAAUUUCCUGCAACAGUGAAUGUGUGCAUGCAUGUGUGUGUG